GGCGAGAUGGCCGAGCGGUCUAAGGCGCUGUGUUAAGGUUAUCGAGGCUUCGGAACUCCGAGCCUCGGCAUCACCUCCGCAGUCUUCGGACGUGGGUUCGAAUCCCACUCUCGUCA